rnacentral:rRNA from 1 species
CAUCCGAGGCCCCGUAAUCGGAAUGAGUACACUUUAAAUCCUUUAACAAUGAACCAUUGGAGGGUAAGUCUGGUGCCAGCAGCCGCGGUAAUUCCAGCUCCAAUAGCGUAUAU